AGCUUGCUCCCGGAUGUUAGCGGCGGACGGGUGAGUAACACGUGGGUAACCUGCCUGUAAGACUGGGAUAACUCCGGGAAACCGGAGCUAAUACCGGAUAGUUCCUUGAACCGCAUGGUUCAAGGAUGAAAGACGGUUUCGGCUGUCACUUACAGAUGGACCCGCGGCGCAUUAGCUAGUUGGUGAGGUAACGGCUCACCAAGGCGACGAUGCGUAGCCGACCUGAGAGGGUGAUCGGCCACACUGGGACUGAGACACGGCCCAGACUCCUACGGGAGGCAGCAGUAGGGAAUCUUCCGCAAUGGACGAAAGUCUGACGGAGCAACGCCGCGUGAGUGAUGAAGGUUUUCGGAUCGUAAAGCUCUGUUGUUAGGGAAGAACAAGUGCAAGAGUAACUGCUUGCACCUUGACGGUACCUAACCAGAAAGCCACGGCUAACUACGUGCCAGCAGCCGCGGUAAUACGUAGGUGGCAAGCGUUGUCCGGAAUUAUUGGGCGUAAAGGGCUCGCAGGCGGUUUCUUAAGU
rnacentral:rRNA from 1 species